rnacentral:lncRNA from 1 species
AGACGCCAGCCCAAUGAUAACUCAGUCACAUCAACUAUUCAAUCAGUUUCACUGGAUAAUCUCAGGCGCUAAACGAGGCCUGUGUCAUCAAUAGACUUAACAUGAAUGGGCAUAGUUGUAGUAAUGUCCCCAUAAAGUAGGCUACGAACUGUGUGUGCUUAUCUAAAUCGUUCGGAAGUCCGUAGAGAACAUGAGUCACACAGACACAGACGGACGGACAGACGCCACACACAGAUCUAUAGCAGGCGGCAAGUGGUUCUGGGACAGAGGUGGCCCAGUGCUGGCGCAGAUCCAGACAUCACAGCCCCACAGAAGCCUGGUACCUUUACCCAGAUGGCUGCAGGCUCCACAGCAGAUCCAGUCUGGUGGUUGAAUCUAUUGCAUCUGUGCCACACAGAUCAGUGUCUGACACGGUUGAGUGAGCCGGAGGAUAAACCACACUCGACUUACUGUAACUGAGGAACUGGAUCUGGCAGCCAUUACUCUCCACGUUCUGCCUCAAGACUCUCCAUUUUGUUGUGUUCAGGGGAGGCGUGCACAUUCACCGUGACCUUCCAGUCCAUCUCAUUUUAUUAGCACAUGACCUUGGUGAGCCUGAACGCCCGCCACCUCCUCCUAUCAUUGUCAAUCAUUGGAUGGAGUUUUCGUCAUCUCCGAGAGACAGGACACACUAUGCAGAAUGAAUAUGCACUGGGUGUUAUCUCCUCGCAGUAUUAGAUCAGGCUGAGGAGGGAGAAAGGGUGGGGUGGGGGGGGGGUCUCACUAUUGUCAUGUAAAUUAUCCUUCAAGGCACUCUGCUGUCUG